rnacentral:rRNA from 1 species
AUGGUGGUUCCGGGUGGGACUACUCUUGAGACAGUAGAUCAGCUCAUUGACCUGGAGAACUGGACGUGGCGUCGGGACCUGAUCAGGGAUGUGUUUAUAGCCCCCGAUGCCGACGCUAUACUGAAUAUCCCACUACGGGCGGGUGGUGGUGAUGAUUUUCUUGCUUGGGCCCAUGAAAUAAGUGGCAUCUAUUCUGUAAAAUCGGCGUACCGUGCUCUUGUGACUCAGAAGGAGCUUGCAGCUCUAGAGGAAGGGAUGGUUACCGGAUCCUCACAGACAGAAGAACAGAUGUGGAAGUCGCUUAGGAAGCUCAAGGUGUUGCUGAAGGUUCGUGUUUUCUGGUGA